GAUGAACGCUGGCGGCGUGCCUAAUACAUGCAAGUCGAGCGAACGGACGAGAAGCUUGCUUCUCUGAUGUUAGCGGCGGACGGGUGAGUAACACGUGGAUAACCUACCUAUAAGACUGGGAUAACUUCGGGAAACCGGAGCUAAUACCGGAUAAUAUUUUGAACCGCAUGGUUCAAAAGUGAAAGACGGUCUUGCUGUCACUUAUAGAUGGAUCCGCGCUGCAUUAGCUAGUUGGUAAGGUAACGGCUUACCAAGGCAAUGAUGCAUAGCCGACCUGAGAGGGUGAUCGGCCACACUGGACCUGAGACACGGUCCAGACUCCUACGGGAGGCAGCAGUAGGGAAUCUUCCGCAAUGGGCGAAAGCCUGACGGAGCAACGCCGCGUGAGUGAUGAAGGUCUUCGGAUCGUAAAACUCUGUUAUUAGGGAAGAACAUAUGUGUAAGUAACUGUGCCCAUCUUGACGGUACCUAAUCAGAAAGCCACGGCUAACUACGU
rnacentral:rRNA from 1 species